UACGGAGGGUGCAAGCGUUAUCCGGAUUCACUGGGUUUAAAGGGUGCGUAGGCGGAUAGGUAAGUUCCGUGGUGAAAUCCUGCAGCUCAACUCCAGAACUGCCCUUGAUACUGACGGUCUCGAGUCCGGGAGAUGGUGAGUGGAACUGCGAGUGUAGAGGUGAAAUUCGUAGAUAGUUCGCAAAGAACACCAGUGGCGAAGGCGGCUCACUGGCCCGGUACUGACGCUG
rnacentral:rRNA from 1 species